GUCAGGGCCUGAGUGGUCCUGCUGUCAUUUCGCAGAUGGGGAGACAGACCUGGGAGGGAAGGGGAGUGGCCUGAUGUGACCAGUGGUAGCAAAGAAGCAGGGGCAUCUCUGCUGGGAAGGUUGGAAGAGAAGUAACAGUCCAGAAAAUGAUGGCAAGUGUAGCCGCCACGUGCAGGACACUGGCUUUGUGCCCAACACUGUGCCAACAACUUCUCCCUCCGAGGUCCAACUCAUCCUCAGAACAAUGCAGUGAGGUGUAGACGCUGACUUUAUGCCCAUUUUAUAGAUGGAGAAACUGAGGCUCAGAGAGAUUGUGCAACCUGCUUCAGAUCAUCUAGCUGGUGAACGGCAGAGACUGGACAGGAACAAAGAUCCUCCGAACUUGGAAACUUGAAAUUGGCUGGAGGUGGAUGGGGAGAAAGGCCUCAUUUUAAUCUGAAGUGAGUCAUCUUCCUCAUCUAUGGCAUGGGAAUAACAUGGCUAUGGGAGGCCCUGCCGAAGGGAUGGAUGCAGAGCAAUAAGCUUGAUGAGCCAACCGAGGACCGGAGAAGGGACAACCAGGCCGCAGUUUGAACUCAAAGUUCCUGCUCCCAGCACCCUCCCAUGAGCCCACUCUACUUGCUACAUAAUUUUUUGUUUCAUCCUCCUCUGGGUGCGGUUCAAUAAGCAGAAUACCCCCAGGGACACUGUGAACAGCCCCGGCAUCAUGUCAAGGCCUGGGCUCAGAUCUUCCCCUGUGACAGCAAGCGUAGAGGGAGACAGAUUGGAGUGCGGCCCACCCCAGGCUUCCUGACCCCGGGGGGCCCACAGCCCACCACCAGUGCACUGGGGCUUUCACUCAGGCACACCUUCUACUCAACUCCUCUUUGGAAAUAGUGUCCUGGGGACACUGACCUCCCUCUGCUGCCUCCAGCUUCUGGAAGGGGUAAAAUAUUCUGCCCUCUGGAGUUUGGGUGAGUUGACUCAGCAGUGCAGUCAGUUUGACAAGCAUUGGUUGAGGCCAACUAGGAGACAUGGUCUAUGCGAGGGGCCGAGGGUUGUCCCCGUGAAGAUGCUUUGGAGCCACCAGGCCAAUGCAGGGCAGAGGGCCGCCACCCCAGGUCACACAGCAAGCUCCUGGCAGGCAGGCCUGUGGGCAGGAGAUGCUCCCUCUGCCCAGCCAGAUGUUAGACUCCCUGGAGACUGCUCCCAACGGUCACACAGAACUGGCCAGAACCCACCCAGUCCCAUACCCUUGUCUGCAGGGGAGGAGGCUGAGGCCCAAAGAGAGAAGCCAGACAAUUCAGGUUGGUUACCUAGCACCAUGCGAAGUCCUCUACAGGCCCCCCUCACUUGUGUGGUAGGAACUCUCCCUACAUUGCACCUGAGGAAAUGGAGACUGGAAGAGUGACAAGAUUCACCUCAGAUCAUAGAGCUCAGACUGGCAGCCCUGGGAUUCAAACCCAGCACCUCAGUAAGCUUGUGCCUAGUCUGGGUGCUCUAAUCAGUGCAAUGCCACCGUGCACAGUCCUCCAUGGUCACUGAGGCAUUGGAAAUGCAGGUUGUUUGCUCUUGGCUCAAGCAACAUGAGAACAUUCAACAUUUGGGGUGGGGAAGCUUAUUUUAAAUAUAAGGAUCUGUCAAGAAGGGUGCAUCUAUUACUAACUCCUGACCUCUCCAGGGAUCCUGGCCAAGCUGGGGAUGCCAGCUGGGGGUGGAGCAGGUUUGGGUUCCUCUGCACUUGGGACUUGCUAUGGAGACAGAUUCUGGAGUAGGUCUCAUCCCAGAAUGAAAGGUGAGUGACUGAAGAGUUAUUUGACUGCACAAAGAGCCAGUGAGGUUUCUCCUGUGCUCUCAGAGCACUCAGAAAGGGCAUUUUCCCCUUAGGAGACAAAGACAAGAAGCAGUGUAGGAAAGAAGGCUUUUUCUUCAUGCCGAAGCUCAUUGCUGGGAAGGGCCCUGUGGCCCCAGCACCCACCUCUCCAGUAAUAACAGCCAAGCUGCCUGCCAGCCUGUCCUUGGGGCCCUCACCUGUGACUGCCUCAAAGUCUAGGCCUCUAGCUUCCUGUGUUUGCCGAGUUUGGUGCACAAUCGGGGCUAACGAAGAGCUUGGAUUCAAGGUUGCUUGCUCUUCAUUGAAGAUGAUGGCCCCAGAGACCCAUGCUGGAGUUUGUUAAGGCCAAGAGUUAAUGGGAAGCUCCUGGAAGCUAAGGAGUGAUUUUGAGAAGGAUGUUGCCCUUUUGGAAAAUGAUGUAAAAUAUUCUUUCAGGCUAUUUAAGAAAUGUCACGAAUGCACUGAUGGCCCUUCCAGAAUCCACUUCAAACAAUUAUGAUAGCGUUAGGGGUUGAAUUAGGCUUUUCCUCUGAAAGGUACUUUGGAGUUCUAACCCUCAGGAACUGUGGACGUGACCUUAUUUGUAGACAGGAUCUUUACAGAGGCACGCUACUUAAGACGAGGUUGUCAGGGUGGGCUCUGAUCCAAUGGGACUGGUGUCGUUAUGAAAAGGGGAUAUCUGGAGGCACACACAAGCAUGGACGAUAACACCAAAGGUGGGGGGUCAGGGUAAUGUACGCACAAGCCAAGGUAAUGAAGAUUGUCCCUGAAGGAAGCACCAGAGCUGGGAACAGAUCCUCCCUCUUGGGGCUUGUUAGGAAACAACCCAGCUGACACUUGGUGACAAGUAUCUGUGUCUUCCAGCCAUGCAGCUGAUGCUUUGUUACAGCAGCCACAGUACACUGAUAUGGAUGGCGAACUGUCUGUUUCCAGUGCUUGUGCAGCGGAGAAUCUGAAAUGGUCCCAGCAGAAAGGGGCCUGGGGUCCUCACCCUCUGAGGCAACUAUUCCCACGGGAGACACUAGGAGAACAGAAACCCGCUGAGCGCCGUUGACAUCCUGGGCUCUGCUCAGCACAUCUGCUUUUCUCUCCCAUGUACUCUUUCCAAUAGGCUCAAAAUGGAGGGCUUCCCACUCCCUUUUUAAAGAAUAUAAAGCUGAGGUGGGAGAGUGUCUAAAUAACUGGCCCAGGAUCGCACUGCUAGGACCUGAUGCUAGCAGAGGUGGGCCGGGCAGCUGGGCUGUCAGCACUAUGCUACCUCCCCGGACCGGCCGCAUGUGCAGAGAGCUUACCUGAGUUAACAAGCUGAUACCAGGGGUCUGAGUGCAUGACCCCAGCUCUUUGCUCUGUCUCCUAUAUCUCAGGCUCUGGGGCUGUCUGGCCAGGGCAGGGCCUACAUUUUUCUCCAUUCUCUCAUUGGGGAAAACAGGAUGGAGGGAAACAUUCCAACUCCUUAAAAGGAUAAGGUGUUUAAGAAUCCUCUAGUCCUGGUGGCCCUGGAUGGCUCAGUCUGUUAAGUGUCUCCCUUUGGCUCAGGUCGUAAUUCUGGGGUUCUGGG